AGGAAAAGAAACCAACAGGGAUUGCCCCAGUAACGGCGAGUGAAGCGGCAAAAGCUCAAUUUUGAAAUCCCCCCGGGGAGUUGUAAUUUGAAGACUAGGGGAUUUGGCCCAAACCUGCGCAAGUCCAUUGGAACAUGGCGCCCAAGAGGGUGAGAGCCCCGUCGCGCAGGCCGCAGCCUUGACAUCCCCCCGUCAAAGAGUCGAGUUGUUUGGGAAUGCAGCUCAAAGUGGGUGGUAAAUUCCAUCUAAAGCUAAAUAUUGGCGAGAGACCGAUAGCGAACAAGUACAGUGAUGGAAAGAUGAAAAGCACUUUGAAAAGAGAGUGAAACAGUACGUGAAAUUGUUGAAAGGGAAGGGCUUGCAAGCAGACACGAGUUCGCUCGGGCCAGCAUCAAUUUCGCGAGGUGGACAACACGCCAGGAAUGUGGCAGGCUUCCGGCCUGUGUUAUA
rnacentral:rRNA from 2 species